rnacentral:misc_RNA from 1 species
GCUAAGCAAUGAUUGAAAAAUAUCAGAAGAAAAAUAACAUUCAUUAUAAAUCAAGGAACAUCCAAAUCAAUGCAUGUGAGUACAGAAAUGUGAUCUAGUUGAUCAUUUUAGAAACCUAUUAAUGAAUCUUGUAAGAAAAAAAUUGAAUAAUCUUGUAUGAAGAAAAACCCAAGAACCAAAAUCUUAAUUAUAUAUAUAUGCCCAACACAACAUGUUAAAAAUGCAUGCACACCAUUAUUAUAUAUUUUUACAGAAAUAUAAAGCAAUCCAAAGAAAUAAGAGGAUUAUCAAUAUCCUCCAUGGGAGCGUCACUAUCAUGGUUAGCCAGCGCUUCUUCAACUGCAACUUCAUCUAUUUUAGAACUAAUGCGGUGAAUGCAAGUCUCUUUAUUCUUCAAGCAAGAACGAAGAUGAUGACUUGAAUUGAUAUAUGGACUUACUGGCCUCAAAUUCUCCUUUCUCAUCAGAGAUGAAGAAACAGAAUUAGCUGCUGCAUUUACCUUGGAACUAACCGUGCGUUUUGAACAACUUUCCUUUGGCGUGCCUGUCAAAAUCCCUCUGCCACUCUCUCCAUUAAAUCGCCUGCUAGGAGAUGGUGACCUCAGAGUUCUAAUGGGCGGAUAAUAUGAAGAAUUAAUUCUCUCGGGUUCUCUGCGAAAGCUCUUCUGUCUGUUUAGUGGACUUGGAGAGUUUGAACGAACUCUUUUCUGAGGUGUAGAUGAUCCAUGUACUCGUUGAGGGAUUGGCUGCUUCGGUGCUGGCACAGCAGAGUCUAGCUUCUGGGAAUAUACAUUUGGAGGAACAAGCAACUGAGAGUAUUCCUUGAUUGAAUUGAUGCGGAUUAUGUGUGGAUUUUCCUUAACACAAGACCACAAGAACUCAUUAGAGAAAGAUCGAUCUUUUGAGGUCAGGAUGGAUGAAGAUCCACUAGAGAGCGAAGAGCCGGAGCUAACAGAAGUGUUGGAAUUGGUCGUACAAGUAAAAGAAGAAACAGAAGAUGAAGAAGUGGUAGGUGAGGGAGGGGAUGGGGAUAUCUUGUUUGAAGGAGGAAUAAUGGGAGUUUUAAGGGUUAAUUUUGGAGCUUGAGAGAUUACAAGCUUGUCUUGAACUUGAACAUGGUUGAAAUCUUGAA